rnacentral:misc_RNA from 2 species
CAGAGUUUUCUAAACUCCCAACCCUUGCGAACCAUACCCAUACUGUUCUCGUUGCUUCCGGCGGGGGACGGGUGGGGGGCUGCCCUCGCGCAGUCCCUCCCCUCCCGCGCCGGGGGCGGCGGGCCCUAUGAACCUUUACAUCUCAACCACAAGAAAACCGUCUGAGAAAAAAAAACAAAUAAUCA